AUUGAACGCUGGCGGCAGGCUUAACACAUGCAAGUCGAGCGGUAGCACAGGGGAGCUUGCUCCCUGGGUGACGAGCGGCGGACGGGUGAGUAAUGUCUGGGAAACUGCCUGAUGGAGGGGGAUAACUACUGGAAACGGUAGCUAAUACCGCAUAACGUCGCAAGACCAAAGAGGGGGACCUUCGGGCCUCUUGCCAUCAGAUGUGCCCAGAUGGGAUUAGCUAGUAGGUGGGGUAAUGGCUCACCUAGGCGACGAUCCCUAGCUGGUCUGAGAGGAUGACCAGCCACACUGGAACUGAGACACGGUCCAGACUCCUACGGGAGGCAGCAGUGGGGAAUAUUGCGCAAUGGGCGAAAGCCUGAUGCAGCCAUGCCGCGUGUGUGAAGAAGGCCUUCGGGUUGUAAAGCACUUUCAGCGAGGAGGAAGGUGGUGAACUUAAUACGUUCAUCAAUUGACGUUACUCGCAGAAGAAGCACCGGCUAACUCCGUG
rnacentral:rRNA from 1 species